CAGCCGCCGCGGUAAAACCAGCACCUCAAGUGGUCAGGAUGAUUAUUGGGCCUAAAACAUCCGUAGCCGGCUCUGUAAGUUUUCGGUUAAAUCUGUACGCUCAACGUACAGGCUGCCGGGAAUACUGCAGAGCUAGGGAGUGGGAGAGGUAGACGGUACUCGGUAGGAAGGGGUAAAAUCCUUUGAUCUAUUGAUGACCACCUGUGGCGAAGGCGGUCUACCAGAACACGUCUGACGGUGAGGGAUGAAAGCUGGGGGAGCAAACCGGAUUAGAUACCCGGGUAGUCCCAGCUGUAAACUAUGCAAACUCAGUGAUGCAUUGGCUUGUGGCCAAUGCAGUGCUGCAGGGAAGCCGUUAAGUUUGCCGCCUGGGAAGUACGUACGCAAGUAUGAAACUUAAAGGAAUUGGCGGGGGAGCAC
rnacentral:rRNA from 2 species